AAAAGCCCCCAUAUCUCUUGUCGCCUGUUAUCACGGACAUGAUGUUCCUCUUCAGAGCACUCCAAAUGGAGCUGUGAUACGUUCAUCCGACAGGAGCUGAGAGAGAGUCCCGUGCUCUUCUCCGAUGCUUUGCUGACAUUUGGAGCUGUGCCAUGUUUUGACCUAUUUUGCAACUAUUUAUAUUCCAUAACAGGAAAUAGUUUCCUUGUUAAAUUUAGUUGUAUUAAUUCAAAUGAGCUAAUUCAACACAAUUCUUGAACAUUAUAUCUUAAUUGCAUGCAGAUAAUUAAUAGGACUGCUGUGGAAAUAAUUCAGUCAGUUUACCUCAUUCUCACUCCCUCAUAUAAAAGGACAAAAUCCCUGACACCAAAACUUACAGCACUUAUAGCGAAAAGCCAGCAGAGGCAGCAGCUCUCAGUUUGAUGCAUGCUUUUAAGUAAAAAAAAAAAAGUAUUUUUUUCUAAAAUACAAAUAUGCAUUAACUAUAUCCUACUAAAAAACAAACACAUAAUUUUUAAAGCAUAAUUUGAGCUAAAAGAGAAACAUUUGUGAAUUAAUUGUUAACAUUUCAUUACCUAUUCCAACAGCUGGAAUUCCACCAUAAUGGAAAAUGCUCCAUAUUUGCAUGCCUAGAAAAUGGCAAGGGGUGUUUCCAAGAUGGCCUCCAAGUGAACUGAGAUUAUUGUUUGACAGAGAAACCAAUCCUGUAUUACAGUUUGUCUCCUGUCAGACCAGGUUGUGGCUGACUGUUGCCAGUUCCAUGAUCUAACAUCUGAAUAGUGCCCCAAAAAAGGGAUGGCUGAUUUGAAUACCCAUACGAGCAAGUCUUGACCUGGUUCAUAACAUUGUGAAUGCAAUACACUAGGGUUUGUGUGUCUUGGGGUUUGAGGGGAAUCGUGCUGGGUAAUUUCUUGGCAGCACCACUGGUGGAUAGUAUGUCUGUGAGGGAAAAGUGAAAAUUAAAAACAUCCACAGUGCUUUCUAAUUCUGUCUCUGCUGCUUUCACUGUCUAUAUCUCUCUCCCUCUCCCUCUCCCUGUUGGUAUGUGCCUUGUUAGACAAACACCACUCCCACGUCAUCAUUAAUACUGUAUUUAUGCCACUUUUUAUUGAAACAGAUUUAACAAUGCACAUAUUUAUAUACUCAGAUAUUAAACACUGAAAAGCCCAGACAUGCAUGUUUCCACUCCCUCCAGCACUAUGGCAGAACUUGCAAUACUUCUCUUAACAUAUUCUGACUAAAUCUCUGUUGCUUUGACAACUUUCCUGUGUUUUCAGAUAUCAGUCCUGCCCCGGGCUGGUUUUGGGGUAAUUACAUUUCGGCAGUUUUCGCCUUGAUGUUGGAAAAACACACUUUUUUGAAGACUUUUGAAGAGGCUGAGAAGGUUCUGGUGUCCCUCUGGGAGAUUUGGAGACCGGAGCCUCAUAUAUAAAAACGUACUUACUGUAUAAUCAUCCUUAACCCUGUAAAGCCUGACAUUUGAAAUGAUAGUCAGGAUUUUUUUUUCUUAAAUGGUUAAUUAAACUGAUUGAAUUGAAUUAAUUUUUUAAUUGAUGUAUUAUCAUAUUUUAUACAUCAUGCUUUCAUGGCUCAUAUAGCUUAAUAUUCAGUAGGAGAAUAUGGAGCUCAUACUCAAAGAGAAAAACUCAAUUUUACUCAGAGGCUGAAACUGAGGAAAAUAUGCAAUUUGAUGCAGUUGCUGAUGUUUUUAUGGUCCAAAAAUAAGUCAGAGAGCUUGUAA
ensembl:lncRNA